CAAAGAAAUGGAUUCUUCCUUAGUGCCUCCAGAAGGAAUGCAGCCCUGCUGACUUCUUGAAUUUAGCCCAGUAAUAUCCAGUUUGGACUUCUGACCUGUAGCAAGGAGUAAAAAGACUUUGGCGUUCUCAGAAGAAAACCAAAUGAGAUCACACGAAUGAGACUGCUGGAGCAAUCUAAUGCAAAUAUCUACUACAGAUUAUCAAAAGGAAAAAAAAAGGAGCUUAUAUCAUAGUUGAGAGGUUCUCAAACACAAACUGGUGCCAAAAGUGACAAAAUGAGAAAGAUAAGUAUUGUGCAAUGAUCAUAUCUGUGCAUGGUAUGGUAUAGACAGCUGAUUUGUAAUCAGUACACUUGCAUGAUUUUAUGAAUUUCCAGUAAAACUUUGCCAAAGGAAACCUUCAUUUUAUUGCUUGUUCCCACAAUAAAUUAGAGCUUAUCAGCAAA
ensembl:lncRNA HDAC2-AS2 HDAC2 and HS3ST5 antisense RNA 2